AGAGUUUGAUCCUGGCUCAGGAUGAACGCUAGCUACAGGCUUAACACAUGCAAGUCGAGGGGAAACGACAUCGAAAGCUUGCUUUUGAUGGGCGUCGACCGGCGCACGGGUGAGUAACGCGUAUCCAACCUGCCCACCACUUGGGGAUAACCUUGCGAAAGUAAGACUAAUACCCAAUGAUAUCUCUAGAAGACAUCUGAAAGAGAUUAAAGAUUUAUCGGUGAUGGAUGGGGAUGCGUCUGAUUAGCUUGUUGGCGGGGUAACGGCCCACCAAGGCGACGAUCAGUAGGGGUUCUGAGAGGAAGGUCCCCCACAUUGGAACUGAGACACGGUCCAAACUCCUACGGGAGGCAGCAGUGAGGAAUAUUGGUCAAUGGACGAGAGUCUGAACCAGCCAAGUAGCGUGCAGGAUGACGGCCCUAUGGGUUGUAAACUGCUUUUAUAAGGGAAUAAAGUGAGUCUCGUGAGACUUUUUGCAUGUACCUUAUGAAUAAGGACCGGCUAAUUCCGUGCCAGCAGCCGCGGUAAUACGGAAGGUCCGGGCGUUAUCCGGAUUUAUUGGGUUUAAAGGGAGCGUAGGCCGGAGAUUAAGCGUGUUGUGAAAUGUAGACGCUCAACGUCUGCACUGCAGCGCGAACUGGUUUCCUUGAGUACGCACAAAGUGGGCGGAAUUCGUGGUGUAGCGGUGAAAUGCUUAGAUAUCACGAAGAACUCCGAUUGCGAAGGCAGCUCACUGGAGCGCAACUGACGCUGAAGCUCGAAAGUGCGGGUAUCGAACAGGAUUAGAUACCCUGGUAGUCCGCACGGUAAACGAUGGAUGCCCGCUGUUGGUCUGAAUAGGUCAGCGGCCAAGCGAAAGCAUUAAGCAUCCCACCUGGGGAGUACGCCGGCAACGGUGAAACUCAAAGGAAUUGACGGGGGCCCGCACAAGCGGAGGAACAUGUGGUUUAA
rnacentral:rRNA from 2 species